AAAAAUCAAAAGAGUUAUGGACCUCCUGGUGAGCUGGCUGAACUAAAAAAAUAAACGUGAUGGAUGAUAAAUUGCAAUGGUCGUAUUGGAAUCAAAGUUACGUACAAG